GACAAAGAUACUGCUAUUCUUGCCUUAGCACCUUUUCUCUUGGUACAGCCAGCUCAUAACUUUACAGAAUUCUGAAGAUGAAUACUCCCAUUGUCAGGUGCAUGGAUAUAGCCCACAUUCCUGACAUCAGCUAAUUCAUUCUAGUCUUAAGCUGACUCCCUGGUAUGAGAAAAGAGAAGUUCUUGAGGACAUGUUUGAAGGCCCCC